AUCACGUGACCACCAGGCAUAGUCACAUGUUGUCAAACAUGGCUACCUACAGCACCACCAUAGAAGAGAUGGAAGUGAGUUCUUCUGCAGCACCCCAGAGCCGGCCUGCAGUCAGGAAGGCCUCCCCAGAGGCAUCCACGAAGCUGCCUGCCAACCUGGGUGCCCCAGGCAUGGGCCCCUCUAAGCCUGCCCUAGGAGGAGAACAGUUUGUGUGACACAGGGGGCGGAGGCUGGGUCUGAAUCCUUUUUUUUUUUUUGAGACAGAGUUCGCUCUGUCGCCCAGGCUGGAGUGCAGUGGUGCAAUCUCACCUCACUGCAACCUCCGCCUCCCGAGUUCAAGCGAUUCUCCUGCCUCAGCCUCUCUAGUAGCUGGGAUUGCAGGUGUGCAUCAUCACGCCUGGCUAAUUUUUGUAUUUUUUAGCAGAGACGGGGUUUCUCCAUAUUGGGCAGGCUGGUCUGAACUCCUGACCUCAGGUGAUUCGCCCACCUCAGCCUCUCAAAAUGCUGGGAUUACAAGCGUGAGCCACCGCGCCCAGCUGGGUCUGAAUCUUUAACAGUUCCCCUCCGCUCCUGGAGCCCCUCCCACAGCCAGCCCUUGCUCACCAGCGGGGGAACCAACAGCCCCUUCCUCACCCCUACAUACCCCUCCUGGGGAUUGGGGUCUCUCUCCACAAUACCAGUGCUGGGACGCAUCCCUCGUCUUCUCUGCUCCUUUCCGUCGUCCGGAGGCCUAGGCCCAGUCAUCCAGCCAGCCUCCACCCAGCUCCUCUCCCUGCACACAAAGACUGACCCCAUCAAGCUGCACUUCCUGAAACACACCCACAAACGAGAAACUCAGCCUCCCCUUUGCCCACAGGAUGCCCAUGGGCAAAACUGUCACCAAGAGAAGAGAGGAGGGGCCCAAACCGGCUCUGUCUCUGUGGAGAAAGAGCCUGCCUGGGGCUGGACCCUGGUUGUGUGGCUUCAGGGCAGGACCCGAUCUCGGAGGAGCUGCAAAUCUCGGCAUGCUCGACAAAUUCCAGCAGGGCAUGAAUCAUGGGCUCCUGCCUCGUGAGGGCCCUCCUCUGCCAAUGGGGCUGGUGGAGCUCUGGGGCUCGCCUGCUGCUCAGCUUGGAGGCAGAGCCGGGCCUGACGGAGUCCUCCCUGCACAUUCCAGAGAAGCUCAAGCCAGCUUUCCCCCCGGGAUCUCACCUGACACUGCAAGGCAGAGUGCCCCACGAAGAGAGGGUUUCCUUCGCUUGCCUUUUUGCCCUGGCAAGACUGGCAACCAGGAGUCCGUGAGCACCGGUGCCUCCUCAGGGGUGGCACCUCUUUCUGGGAAGCCACACGGGUCUCAGACAGCUGUGCCCUUCCUGCUGCCCUCCAGCUGCCAGAAGGCCAUAGUUCCCAUGUGCCCUGGAAUGUGGGACUCUCUUUGAGACAUCCACUUGGGGACCUGUCCUCAGGCCCUGGGGUCAGCACACAGGUGGGCAGUUUCUUUGGGCUCAGGGUCAGGCUUCUACUGGUGGGUGAAGGCAGCCCUUUGUCUCAUGUCUUGCCCCAGCGUUCUUGAGUAGCAGGCUCCCUCCCCCAUCCUCUUGGCAGCUGUCCCUCCCUGCUCCCUCCCGGUGACCACAGCCAAGCCAAGAGGCCUGUGCUCUGUUCCCCACACGUCCAUGUAGAGUGGCUGGACACCGGUGUUGAUUGCUGUGGAGGUGGCUGGAGGGAGUGGACAUUCCAUUGUAAUGAUGGCAAAAAUAGCCAUGAUCUUUCAGCCACUGCUGAAACUGCUGGAGUCAGGCCCUUCCCAGGUAUGAUUUGCCCUCCCUGAUGGUGCAUUUGUCUCCCAGAUGUGCAGAUGUGGAAGCCGAUGUCCUGGGGAUCAGGGGAACCUCAUGAGGGAGGAGGCAGGGGGCCAGGACUGGCUCCUGAGCUCUGCAACCCCAGUGUUGCCGUCUGUCUUUUAAUCUUUAAAAAGAAGAUACAAUGAUAUAAUUAGGAUGCGGCAAUCUCAGCACUGGGAGGCCAAGGCGGGGCGGAUCACUUGAGGUCAGGAGUUUGCGACCAGCCUGGCCAACAUGGUGAAAUCCCAUCUCUACUAAAAAUGCAAAAAAAUUAGCCGGGAGUGAUCUCAGCUACUCAGGAGGCUGAGGCAGGAGGAUCGCUUGAACCGGGGAGGCGGAGGUUGCAGUGAGCCGAGAUCGCACCACUGCACUCCAGCCUGGGCAACAGGGCAAGAUUGUGUCUCAAAAAAAACAACAAAAACAAAACCAAUAAUAAUAAUUAGAAUGCUGA